rnacentral:rRNA from 1 species
CCCUUAGAUGUCCGGGGCCGCACGCGCGCUACACUGAAGGAAUCAGCGUGGCUUUCUCCCUGACCCGAAAGGGUUGGGAAACCCGUUGAAUCUCCUUCGUGAUAGGGAUUGGGGCUUGAAAUUGUUCUCCAUGAACGAGGAAUUCCCAGUAAGCGCGAGUCAUAAGCUCGCGUUGAUUACGUCCCUGCCCUUUGUACACACCGCCCGUCGCUACUACCGAUUGAACGGUUUAGUGAGGGCCUCGGAUUGGUCUCGGCCCGCUCUUUACCGGGCGGCGCCGUUGGUCGAGAAGACGCUCGAACUUGAUCGUUUAGAGGAAGUAAAAGUCGUAACA